UCAAACUUGGUCAUUUAGAGGAAGUAAAAGUCGUAACAAGGUUUCCGUAGGUGAACCUGCGGAAGGAUCAUUAUCGAAGUUGAAUGCAUGGCAGUUGCUGGCCUUUUUCACAAAGGCAUGUGCACGCUUUGUACUUCUAAUUUCAUUCUCCCUUUGUGAACUGUUGGCGUAGUAUUCAGGUUGGCUCCCUUUCAAGCUAUUCUGCUUGGUAUUGAAGAUUGCGACUUUAGCUGUCUUUGGAUCUGUCACCUGCUUACUAUUGCACCCUUUUAUAAACUUGUAUAACAAUGGAAUGUGUAGUUUACUUGGUCUUUCGACCUGUAAAUGUCUAUACAACUUUCAGCAAUGGAUCUCUUGGCUCUGGCAUCGAUGAAGAACGCAGC
rnacentral:misc_RNA from 1 species